rnacentral:piRNA from 1 species
UAACUGCCUAUAGAUUCUUAAGGAAUGGUGUU